rnacentral:rRNA from 1 species
UACGUAGGGGGCUAGCGUUGUCCGGAAUCAUUGGGCGUAAAGCGCGUGUAGGCGGCCCGGUAAGUCCGCUGUGAAAACUCGAGGCUCAACCUCGAGAUGUCGGCGGAAACCAUCUGGCUAGAGUCCGGAAGAGGAAAGUGGAAUUCCUGGUGUAGCGGUGAAAUGCGCAGAUAUCAGGAAGAACACCCGUGGCGAAGGCGGCUUUCUGGGACGGUACUGACGCUGAGACGCGAAAGCGUGGGGAGCGAACAGG